GGUCGGAAAGAGGGAAGUAGGGCUCCUAUUGACUAAAGGUUGGUUCUUCGCUUUCCUUUAGAAUGAAAGUUGCUAUGAAGCCCCUACUACUUACUUUGUUUGAUUCAAAAGGCGAACAGCCCCCCCAACUAGUUGUAUGGGGUGGGGUGCUUGUGAAAAGCUGCUUUGGAUAUGAGUAAUUCCUAAAAAAAGGCAAAGUCCGGUAUUUGACGAAGAUCUUUCUAUCAAUAGAUAGGAAUGAGUGUUCGAUAUAGGGGAUAGGAUCCAUCUGCUCUUUAUCUCACAAUUUUUUUGUGAUAAAUAUAUAUAUAUCGUUUAUCUAUCUCUUGUCUAUCUAUCAUUGAUUCUCAAGUCAAAAGACUUCGUUUUUGGGUUCCCCGAAGCCCCGAAUGGAAUGGAUCGUUUCUGCCAACGAAAUGAACGCGGAGCCCGUUCCGAAUGCUUCUACGAUCCGGAAGUUCUCGCGAAGAGAAUAAGAUGCUGCUCCCCUUCCCUCUUUCUUUUCCCGCUUUGCUAAUCUUCCCCUCUAACGCGGGCCGGGCGGCGACGGGCGCGGGAGGAAGAAACCUAAGAGAAGACGCUCGUCUCUUAGGUCCUUUUUUUCAGUGCAACACAGGAAAGCGCCCUCUUUUUGUCAUCCCUGCAGCUUUCCAGAUUUUGUAUU
rnacentral:lncRNA from 1 species